UGGGGAAUCUUGCGCAAUGGGCGAAAGCCUGACGCAGCAACGCCGCGUGGGGGAUGAAGGCUCUCGGGUCGUAAACCCCUUUCAGCAGGGACGAAACUGACGGUACCUGCAGAAGAAGCCCCGGCCAACUACGUGCCAGCAGCCGCGGUAACACGUAGGGGGCAAGCGUUGUCCGGAUUUAUUGGGCGUAAAGAGCUCGUAGGUGGUUCGGUAAGUCAGGUGUGAAACCUCCAGGCUCAACCUGGAGACGCCACUUGAUACUGCCGUGACUGGAGUCCGGUAGGGGAGCGUGGAAUUCCUGGUGUAGCGGUGAAAUGCGCAGAUAUCAGGAGGAACACCAGCGGCGAAGGCGGCGCUCUGGGCCGGUACUGACACUGAGGAGCGAAAGCGUGGGUAGCAAACAG
rnacentral:rRNA from 1 species